rnacentral:rRNA from 1 species
GGCCUACGGGGGGCAGCAGUGAGGAAUAUUGGUCAAUGGACGAGAGUCUGAACCAGCCAAGUAGCGUGAAGGAUGACUGCCCUAUGGGUUGUAAACUUCUUUUAUAUGGGAAUAAAGUGAGCCACGUGUGGCUUUUUGUAUGUACCAUACGAAUAAGGAUCGGCUAACUCCGUGCCAGCAGCCGCGGUAAUACGGAGGAUCCGAGCGUUAUCCGGAUUUAUUGGGUUUAAAGGGUGCGUAGGCGGAAUAUCAAGUCAGCGGUAAAAAUUCGG